UCCAAGGGGGCAGUAGCUUAGUGGAAAAGCACCAGUUUUGCACGCAGAAGGUCCCAGGUUCAAUCCCAGGUAGGUUUGGAA